AAGUCGUAACAAGGUAACCGUAGGUGAACCUGCGGUUGGAUCAUUAGUAAAUGAUGGUCGAGGGUAGCAGCGGUCUUUGUGAUCCACUACCCAAGACACACCAACACUUUGUGCAUCUCUGAAUUGUAUUUUGGGUUGAUGGGGGAGUGAGGCUCUGGUACUGUAUUGUACCAGAGCCGAGCGAAACCAGAGGCCCAGUAGUGUAAACCAACCCCUUUUAAUUUUUGUCUGAUUUUUGUAAGAUACAAAAGAGAAACAACUCUUGACAACGGAUCUCUUGGCUCUC
rnacentral:misc_RNA from 1 species